rnacentral:rRNA from 1 species
GACGAACGCUGGCGGCGUGCCUAACACAUGCAAGUCAACUUGACGGAAGGAGCAAUCUGACCGUAGAGUGGCGCAAGGGUGCGUAACGCGUAAGUAACUUGCCCCAAGGUAAGGAAUAACGUCGAGAAAUCGGCGCUAAUACCUCAUAAUGCAGCGGAUCCGCAUGGAUAUGUUGUUAAAGGUUUACCGCCUUGGGAUAGGCUUGCGUCUGAUUAGCUAGUUGGUGUGGUAACGGCACACCAAGGCUACGAUCAGUAACUGGUCUGAGAGGAUGAUCAGUCACACUGGAACUGAGACACGGUCCAGACUCCUACGGGAGGCAGCAGUGAGGAAUAUUGGGCAAUGCUCGAAAGAGUGACCCAGCAACGCCGCGUGGAGGAUGAAGGUAUUCUAUAUCGUAAACUCCUGUGAGAGCAGACGAAAGACAGAUUAUAAUCUGGAUGACUGUAUGCUCAGAGGAAGCCCCGGCUAACUACGUG